AAUCAACGCUGGCGGCGUGCCUAACACAUGCAAGUCGAACGCGAAAGUGGAGCAAUCCAUGAGUAGAGUGGCAAACGGGUGAGUAACGCGUGGGUGACCUGCCUUCGAGCGGGGGAUAACGUUCCGAAAGGGACGCUAAUACCGCAUAACAUCCUGUCUUUCAAGAGAUGGUGAUCAAAGCCGGGGAUCGCAAGACCUGGCACUCGAAGAGGGGCCCGCGUCCGAUUAGCUAGUUGGUGGGGUAACGGCUCACCAAGGCGACGAUCGGUA
rnacentral:rRNA from 1 species